UUUUUUUUUUUUUCCUUAAACUUUUUUUUUUGCCUUUCUCCUGGAAGAGUGCAGGCACACAUUACGCGAAACCCACAGCCUUUCGCGAUACACAGCUCGAAACGCUCUAGUUUAUUUAUAUAGCCCCUCCACCUCGGGUCUUCCCACCCGUCCCCAAAUUCCCUAGAAAUCCAGCUAAGGCGUGGGGAAGAGGAGAAAGCAGUUUUGGAAGGGAGGGAGUUAUUUAUUUUUGUUUUGUUUGGGGAUUGUUUUGCUUUGUUGACUUUUUUUCUUUGCAUACAAAAAUAAGUGGAGAAGAUUUUGCAAGGUGCGGCCGCGCCGUCGAGGCCAGAGGUGCCGCGGGAGCAGCGAGGGCCGCGGGCAGGUGAGAGAAGCGACGGGCUUUCCCCGCACCCCGGGAUUCCUCACUCCCGACAGCCAGGGAAUCGUCCGAGUUCCCGGCUGCUGCUCCCUCGGACCCCGGCGCUGGUUACAGCCGGGCUUGGCCUCACACAGCGCUGGGACACAGCCGCCCCCGACCCCAGCACCGACAGGGCUCCAGGCAGCCCCUGCUGCCCCCAGGCACAGCCGACAGCCUCAUCCCACGUGGGAGAAAGCUCAGGAUGGCAGAAGGGAGGUCAAGGCAUUGAAACAGAGGGGCAAAUCCAGGUAAAGUUGAUACAAAUUACAUAUGAACAGGCCGUCGUGUUGAUUUCUAGUGAAACCUGUCGUCUUAAGACAGUGGGGAAGGAAAAGAGUUAGUGAGCAUUGCCUAAAAUCUCCUUACUUCCCUCAUCUUUCCUUUUUCAUUCACUAGUUAACACUCUUCCACUUCACAGUUAAAUGUAUUGUCCAGCAUUUGCAGUUCUCGUAGUUUUUGUCUGGUAGAUUUCUUUCUUGUUUCUUCUUUUUUUUUUAAUCCACCAUCCUUGAGACAGCUAGUACUAAUUACUGCCUACCACUAUAGUCAUGAGGUAGAAAAUUGUGAGGCAAAUUAAUUGAUAGCACAUGUUUUAAAAGCAAAAGGACCCUCUCCCAGUAAAACAACCAAACAUAUCCUUGUUUCAGUCGGGUUUACCCAUUGUCCCUUGCUCUGUUUUCAGACGUGGCAAUUUUAGAGAAAGGCAAAGUAUGUUCCAGUUACAAAAUGAAAAGUUUACAGAUAAUUAACUACAGAAAGGUCUUUUUAUAUUUUGAAUUUUAAAUUCAUUUUUCAUAUUUUAAAUUCAAUUUAUGAGUAAAUGAAAUACAUAGGAAGGAUUUUUGUAAGAAGUCCAUUUUUGUCUUUUUUAUUUUGGCAUCUAAUUUCUUGAUGGACGUUAUCUGCCCACAAAUUGCAGUGGACAAGUUGCUGAAAAACAACAAAAGUAUCUUCCUUCAGAAAGCUGCCACUAUGGGCAGAUGUCUUCAGAGGUUAGGGGCUCCUAACCUGCCACCUGUCUUACAUCAAACACUCUGUUAGGACCCAUAAAGCUUAGCUGUGCUUUACUGGUAUCAGCUUGUUUGCAACCAAAGUAGACAAACUCUGCUUACUUAAAGAUAUGAAAGAAAAGCAGCUUCUCAUAGCCAAAGGUGUGUAAGGCCUGCUAGAGCCUCGAGUACAUGCAACUCCUAGACCAGCAUUUAAUCUCCCCCGAAAGAGGAUGUAUCGAAUACUAAACUAGUACUGCUCUUGAGGUUUCUUAAAAGGUCAAGACAUACAUUGCUAGGACUGGGGGGUCAGUGCCUGUUAAUUUAUGUCUGUUACUGCACUUAAUACAAUUAUAUAAAGGCUGAGGGCCUAUGUAUAGAAUUGCUGCUUAAGACCUCAGAGCCUCCUGUAUUCCUGUCAGUAAAGGGCUGAGAAAUACCUCCAACCAUCUGUAAAAAAUUGCUUUGUGAAUAUGGGCCUCAUGAAAUAAUGAUUUAACACUCUUACCCCAUCCUCCUUCUCUCCUCCUUCUCCCCAGUUUUUAUUAGUAUUUGAGUCUUUUACAGAUCAUCUGCACAUCAGUUCUCAUUCCUUCUCUUUAAGAUGUGUUACCACAAAUAUAUUUAGCUAUAAUAUUUGGAUUAGCUGUAGUAUGCUGCCAUCUCAUUUCUGGAUAUAGAGAUUGCUCUUAUAAAGGACUCAUGUAAAUUACCUUUUAUUUGUAAUGUUAUAUUUUCAGACAAGUUGUGUAGUGGUUGUUUUUCAUGUAACUUUCACUAACUAUCAGGCCUAACACUAGAUGUUUUAACAUAUAUGUCUAAAGGGGCUUUUCCUAUAAAUUAAAAUAAGUAUCUUUCAGCUUUUCUACUACAGGGCAUGUUAAUUUGGUUAGUGUCAUGUUGCUGGCUCUCCAUCCCCCCUCCCCCCCAGAAAGAACAAAAACUUCUUAUAUCUCUUUCUGAAAUAUUUUAUGGGAACUAAUUAUGGAAUACUAAAUAGGGUUUGUUGACUCACUGGCAGUGUCCACAGAAGCGUGUUUUGUCAAACUGUUCCCAGUGUUGUCAUCCCUGGUUUAGCAUGGCCAGUGGAAGUGCCCUGAUAACAGUUAUGCAGGUAGUAGUGCUUGCAGCAUGCUUAGUUGACACACUGUGUUUGUCUAACAUAGGGAGUACAAGAGUGAAACCCGAGUGAAGCCUAAUUAGCAGUAGCAAUGGUAGAAAAGGUUGGCAGAUUUAUGGUACUGCAGACGUGAUAUAUAGUCUGGGGGAAAAUACAGCAUGCAGACUUACCAAAGUUCAGAGAGGAGCACUGCAGCAGCCAAACUUAGUCUGAAAUGACACAAUGCUGUUUCUGUUUGUAAAUAUAAUCCAUUUCCAUUUGUAAAUAUAACCAGAAAAGAGUAACAUUACCCAUGGCCUUUGUUUGGAGCAGAAAGAAGCUGCACCUUAUUUAAAUACAUUCAAUUUUCUGUGUAAGUGACCAAGUACUGUUCAGAGCAGCACACACAGGCACAGGGUUGGCUGCAUGCAUGCACAAAAAAUACAUAUGCAUGUGAAUAUAAAAUGGAUUUUUUUUCUAGCACUUUGUUUUAAUUCUGGAUAGUCAAGCUUCUUAACUUGUAGAAGAGAGUUACAAAAGUAGUCCCUGAGAAAUUCAAUCUUUCCACUUAAAUUACAAAGUGCUACCUAUGUUUUAUAGCAUAUUUGAUGCUGUUGUUCAGAUAGGUUUGGAAGGAUGAUAGAAGAUGCUUUAUUAAUUUUUCUAUGUGCAGAUGGAGAAAUGCAUCAUGGUAGUAGCAUGAUAUGAGUCUCAUUUCUAAUACGUCUUUAGUCUCUGCAAAACCUCUCUGGGGUUAGGAGACACCAUCUACUCCACGUAGCCACAGUCCAAACUCCAGCACAGCUCAAGUGCUUCCCGUGACCCAUGUUCCUGUCCGUGUGCAAGUAGUCACAGGCUGUGGUGACAUAAGUGUGGUGACAAGGACACGCAUUCGGGCACUGAUGGUACUUAUGCUAGUCACCAGGAUGCAGCAUUAACUUCUGCAGGAGAAAAGAGAUGAUUCCCUCGAGUCGAGCCAGAGAAGAAAUGUGACCCGUGUGUCUGUCAAUGAGUUGUGGUGUUUUCGGUGCUAAUGUCUAGGCACCACGUUGUUCUCUUCCAGGCAGGCAUAGAUGGGAGACAUGUGAGAGGAAAAGGGAGGUGAAUUUAAUUUUCUGUUUAUUUUAUUAGAGGAUUCCCUCACCCCCAAAGCCCAUUCUCUGAAUUUGACAAAUCCAUGCUCUCCCAUUGCAGCAGCUCUCUCUCCCGGGAGGUGGCCAGGUUGUCUUCUGAAGUCGCCCCCUUUGCUCGGCAGUGGAAGGAUUGAAGGGAUUAUUGUCACCUUCUCCCCACAGUUGAAAGUUGGCAAGUAGUUUUUUAAAAAGGGCUCAGAGAAUUGUGAGUUUCUAGGCCAAGAACAUAGUAAACAAUUUACUAAGAAUUAAUUCAGGGUGUGCCCUGGAAAAGGUGUUCCAUCAUCCCUUAUUUUCAGCAAGCUAUAAGUAAACAGCAUGGAAUAAUGCCAUACUAAAUAAUGUAAAGCUAUCAUGGGCUUCUUCCCAGGUGGACAAGGUUCAUUUGCCUGGGAAACCUGAAAAUUCUCAGUUUGUGUGCAAACCUCUCUGAAAAGGGGAGUUGCAAAAAAAAAAAAAAAAUUCUUCUGAGCAUUUGAUUGUUUUAAAUGAUGCCUUUUCAAAAUGAUUGCAUGGUUGAAGGAAAAAAUGGAAAGCAGUGGGACACUGCCAUGGAGAAAUUACAUACUUUUUAAAGAAUGUGAUUCUUCCAAUUUUAUUCUCUUCAAAUUAUCUGCCCUCAUGUGAAUGUUUUUACCAGAGAGAUGUGGGAGGCAGAAAGCAUUGCCAAAUCAAGGCCCACCACACCCUUGAGUUUAUAGCUUUACUGAAGGAAAUAAGGUUAUUUUCCAACAGAGGAACUGGGACAAGCACUGGGAAAACAUGUGCUGUUGUUCAGCUCAUCACAGCACAGUCCCAGCUGUACAGAUGUAAGUCAACCCAUGCAGGUGUCCACCCUCACUCCAAACAUGAGGGAAAGAAGGAAGUGGUGUACAAGAGAGUGCAAUUGAUCUUGCACUGAGUGGAUGGCACAUGGUGUCCUACUCUGGAAAGAGAGGAGUAAAGACAAAAAAAGGCCAGUUAAUUAAGAGAAGGGCUGGGGACAAGUCACCAGCAGCCAUGACAUGAUCAGUUAUUUAACCUCAAUACAUAGAAUACUUAGUCAAUAGUGUUAAUUUAACAGAAGUACUGUGAGCUGCAAACACCCAAAGAAAGGCAUAAAAGCCAUCACAGAAACAUCUCAAUGCCUUUGUCUUUCCUUUUCUGGAAAGUCUGGUGACUCAAUAAAAUUCUGCAUGUCUGGUGUAGCUGCCCUUUU
ensembl:lncRNA